rnacentral:rRNA from 1 species
AUUGAACGCUGGCGGCAUGCCUUACACAUGCAAGUCGAACGGCAGCAUAGGAGCUUGCUCCUGAUGGCGAGUGGCGAACGGGUGAGUAAUAUAUCGGAACGUGCCCUAGAGUGGGGGAUAACUAGUCGAAAGACUAGCUAAUACCGCAUACGAUCUACGGAUGAAAGUGGGGGAUCGGAAGACCUCAUGCUCCUGGAGCGGCCGAUAUCUGAUUAGCUAGUUGGUGGGGGAAAGGCCUACAAAGGCAACGAUCAGUAGCUGGUUUGAGAGAACGGACAGCGACACUGGGACGGAGACACGGCCCGGGCUACUACGGGAGGCAGCAGUGGGGAAUUUUGGACAAUGUGGGCAACCCUGAUCCAGCAAUGCCGCGUGUGUGAAGAAGGCCUUCGGGUUGUAAAGCACUUUUGUCAGGAACGAAACGGACUGGGCUAAUACCUCGGUCUAAUGACGGUACCUGAAGAAUAAGCACCGGCUAACUACGUGCCAGCCGCCGCAGUAA